UAUCAAGGAUCUUAAGAAAUAGAUUAAGAGACUCCCUCUGGAGAAGUGGAAUGGAAAAUAUGCCGAGACAAAUAGGACAUUUAUUCUAUACUUUAUCCAAUUUUGUAUGGCUUUCAUCUUUAGUAUUUAGUAUUAUCUAUUACAUUUAAAUUUUUCUUUAAAAAUUAGCAUUAUAUUAAAAUGGUAUAUAUUAUGCAACUAAAAUUUAUAAAGAAGAAAACCUUAUAUACCAUUAAAUAUUUUAUAUAGCAUAAGAAAAAGAAUAACUUAACUGGUAAGAAUAACAAAAAUAAUACACCCUCUGAAAAUAAGUAAAAUAUAAAAUGCAUAAAUUGGUUAAAAAACAGUGUAACUAUAUAAAUAUGUCCUCACAAUUUGUUACAUCUUAUUGAUUCUUCAAUAUAGGCAUUACACCAUUCUAGGUGAUGUGAUAAACAAGACAUUAUAGACCUUACAUUGUACCAUGGAGAGAAAUGGUUAUUAAUAAUACAAUUGUAGAACUGUAUUAUUUAAUUGUACAGUUGCAUUAUUUAAUUAUAAUUAUCAUAAAUUCUUUGAUGGAGAGGAAAUCAGAAUCAGAUCUAAGAAGACUUCAGCAUUCCAAGAAUGAUGUCAAAUGACCCCCUUCAUGGUGGAUUAUGCACUUAUUUACUAUGAGAUAUAUUUCUUCUCCAGAGAUUCCUUGUUUGUGUAUCAAUUGUAGAUUUUUGGUUUGCAGUUAUUCUGAAGUUUUGAUAUAAGAGUCUAUAUGUAUAUGAGAUUGUUUUAAGUUGUUGUUCUCUUAAUUGCAAGUUCAUCUCCAGUGUCCUGCAUUUGUACCCACCUCUUCUCAUGAUUUCUGAUUUUGGUGGUAUAAUUGUGCAUGGAUGAUUUCGUAUCUUUACUGUAUAUAUACCUUUACUGGUGAGCCUUGUCAUUUGUGGAAUUUUUGUUUCCUGUUGCUGUCUUUUCUUUUCUGCCUAGAGAAGUUCCUUUAGUAUUUGUUGUAAGGCUGGUUUAGUGUUGCUGAAUUCUCUCAGCUUUUGCUUAUCUGUGAAGGUUUUGAUUUCUCCUUCAAAUCUGAAUGAGAGCCUUGCUGGGUAGAGUAAUCUUGGUUGGAGGUUUUUUCCUUUCAUCACGUUAAGUAUAUCAUGCCACUCCCUUCUGGCCUGCAGAGUUUCUGCUGAAAAAUCUGCCGAUAACCUUAUUGGGGUUCCCUUGUAUGUUACUUGUUUCUUUUCCCUAGCUGCUUUCAAGAUUUUCUCUUUGUCUUUAAUUUUGGUCAGUUUGAUUAAUAUGUGUCUCGGUGUAUUCCUCCUUGGGUUUAUUUUAUAUGGUACUCGUUGUGCUUCCUGGAUUUGAGUGAGUGGUUCCUUUCCCAUGUUAGGGAAGUUUUCGGCUAUUAUCUCUUGGAAUAUUUUUUCUGUCCCCUUCUCUCUCUCUUCUCCUUCUGGCACCCCUAUAAUACGGAUGUUGGUGCGUUUAACGUUGUCCCAGAGUUUGACCCAGAUUCCUAUGGAGACUUUGCUUUGCCCUGGGACCCAGUGCACGUGAAAGUCUGUGUGCGCCUUUUAAGAAUGGGGUCUCCGUUUCCCCCAGUCCCGUGGAGCUCUUGCGCACAAGCCCCACUGGCCUUCAAUGCCAGAUGCUCCGGGGCUCUUUCUCCCUGUGCCAGAUCCCCACACGUGAGAGUUUGAUGUGUGGCUCAGAACUCUCACUCCUGUAGGUGAGUCUCUGUGAACCAGUUAGUUUCCAGUCUGUGGAGCUUCCCACCCAGGAGGUAUGGGGUUGUUUAUAUCGCGAAAUUGCCCCUCCUACCUCUUGAUGUGGCCUCCUCUUUUUCUUCUGGAGUAGGGUAUCUUUUUUAAGGUUUCCGGUCCAUUUGGGUGGGGAUUGCUCAGCUUUUAGUUGUGAAUUUUGUUGUUUUUAGGAGAGGAGUUGAGCUCCAGUCCUUC
rnacentral:lncRNA from 1 species